rnacentral:rRNA from 1 species
UACGGGGGGAGCAAGCGUUGUUCGGAUUUACUGGGCGUAAAGGGCGCGUAGGCGGCCUCUGCAAGUCGACUGUGAAAUCUCCGGGCUUAACCCGGAACGGUCAGCCGAUACUGCAGGGCUAGAGUGCAGAAGGGGCAACCGGAAUUCUCGGUGUAGCGGUGAAAUGCGUAGAUAUCGAGAGGAACACCUGAGGUGAAGACGGGUUGCUGGGCUGACACUGACGCUGAGGCGCGAAAGCCAGGGGAGCAAACGGG